UCCUUCCUUGUUCUGGGGAGCAUAAUGUCCAAUGAACGUUUAGUGAGGGCAUUGAUGCUGACACCCAUUAUAAUAUAAACCCCCGGCCGAUGAUUCAGUUCUGUCGGUCGGAAUUUUUGGAUAA